rnacentral:rRNA from 1 species
AUUGAACGCUGGCGGCAGGCCUAACACAUGCAAGUCGAACGAGUGGCGGACGGGUGAGUAAUGUCUGGGAAACUGCCUGAUGGAGGGGGAUAACUACUGGAAACGGUAGCUAAUACCGCAUACCAUCAGAUGUGCCCAGAUGGGAUUAGCUAGUUGGUGGGGUAACGGCUCACCAAGUCGACGAUCCCUAGCUGGUCUGAGAGGAUGACGAGCAACACUGGAGCUAGGACACGGUGCAGAAUCCUACGUGAGGCACGGUUGGGGAAUAUUGCACAAGUGGCGGAAGCCUAUUGCAGCCAUGCCGCGUGUAUGAAGAAGGCCUUCGGGUUGUAAAGUACUUUCAGUGGGGAGGCGUUACCCACAGAAGAAGCACCGGCUAACUCCGUGCCAGCAGCCGCGGUAAUUC